GACGAACGCUGGCGGCGUGCUUAACACAUGCAAGUCGAGCGGUAAGGCCCUUUCGGGGGUACACGAGCGGCGAACGGGUGAGUAACACGUGGGUGACCUGCCUUUAGCUCUGGGAUAAGCCUGGGAAACCGGGUCUAAUGCCGGAUAUGACUCCGCGGCGCAUGUUGUGGGGUGGAAAGCCUUGUGCGGCUAGGGAUGGGCCCGCAGCCUAUCAGCUUGUUGGUGGGGUGAUGGCCUACCAAGGCGACGACGGGUAGCCGGCCUGAGAGGGCGACCGGCCACACUGGGACUGAGACACGGCCCAGACUCCUACGGGAGGCAGCAGUGGGGAAUCUUGCGCAAUGGGCGAAAGCCUGACGCAGCGACGCCGCGUGAGGGAUGACGGCC
rnacentral:rRNA from 1 species